UACGUAGGGGGCAAGCGUUGUCCGGAUUUAUUGGGCGUAAAGAGCGUGUAGGCGGCCGGGUAGGUCCGUUGUGAAAACUCGAGGCUCAACUUCGAGCUGUCGGUGGAAACUUUCUGGCUAGAGUCCGGAAGAGGAGAAUGGAAUUCCUGGUGUAGCGGUGAAAUGCGCAGAUAUCAGGAAGAACACCCGUGGCGAAGGCGGCUCUCUGGGACGGUACUGACGCUGAGACGCGAAAGCGUGGGGAGCGAACAGG
rnacentral:rRNA from 1 species